UACGUAGGGGGCAAGCGUUGUCCGGAUUUAUUGGGCGUAAAGAGCGUGUAGGCGGCCAGGUAGGUCCGUUGUGAAAACUCGAGGCUCAACCUCGAGACGCCGAUGGAAACCAUCUGGCUGGAGUCCGGAAGAGGCGAGUGGAAUUCCUGGUGUAGCGGUGAAAUGCGCAGAUAUCGGGAGGAACACCAGUAGCGAAGGCGGCUCGCUGGGCCACACCUGACGCUGAGACGCGAAAGCUAGGGGAGCGAACAGG
rnacentral:rRNA from 1 species